rnacentral:rRNA from 1 species
ACGAACGCUGGCGGCGUGGAUAAGACAUGCAAGUCGAACGGGAGAAUUGCUAGCUUGCUAAUAAUUCUCUAGUGGCGCACGGGUGAGUAACACGUGAGUAACCUGCCUCUUAGUGGGGGAUAGCCCUGGGAAACCGGGAUUAAUACCGCAUACGAUUGAAAGAUCAAAGCAGCAAUGCGCUAGGAGAUGGGCUCGCGGCCUAUUAGUUAGUUGGUGAGGUAACGGCUCACCAAGGCGAUGACGGGUAGCCGGUCUGAGAGGAUGUCCGGCCACACUGGAACUGAGACACGGUCCAGACACCUACGGGUGGCAGCAGUCGAGAAUCAUUCACAAUGGGGGCAACCCUGAUGGUGCGACGCCGCGUGGGGGAAUGAAGGUCUUCGGAUUGUAAACCCCUGUCAUGUGGGAGCAAAUUAAAAAGAUAGUACCACAAGAGGAAGAGACGGCUAACUCUGUGCCAGCAGCCGCGGUAAUACAGAGGUCUCAAGCGUUGUUCGGAAUCACUGGGCGUAAAGCGUGCGUAGGCUGUUUCGUAAGUCGUGUGUGAAAGGCAGGGGCUCAACCCCUGGAUUGCACAUGAUACUGCGAGACUAGAGUAAUGGAGGGGGAACCGGAAUUCUCGGUGUAGCAGUGAAAUGCGUAGAUAUCGAGAGGAACACUCGUGGCGAAGGCGGGUUCCUGGACAUUAACUGACGCUGAGGCACGAAGGCCAGGGGAGCGAAAGGGAUUAGAUACCCCUGUAGUCCUGGCAGUAAACGGUGCACGCUUGGUGUGCGGGGAAUCGACCCCCUGCGUGCCGGAGCUAACGCGUUAAGCGUGCCGCCUGGGGAGUACGGUCGCAAGAUUAAAACUCAAAGAAAUUGACGGGGACCCGCACAAGCGGUGGAGUAUGUGGCUUAAUUCGAUGCAACGCGAAGAACCUUACCUGGGCUUGACAUGUAAUGAACAACAUGUGAAAGCAUGCGACUCUUCGGAGGCGUUACACAGGUGCUGCAUGGCCGUCGUCAGCUCGUGUCGUGAGAUGUUUGGUUAAGUCCAGCAACGAGCGCAACCCCUGUUGCCAGUUACCAUCGAGUAAUGUCGGGGACUCUGGCGAGACUGCCCAGAUCAACUGGGAGGAAGGUGGGGACGACGUCAGGUCAGUAUGGCCCUUAUGCCCAGGGCUACACACGUACUACAAUGCCCAGUACAGAGGGGGCCGAAGCCGCGAGGCGGAGGAAAUCCUGAAAACUGGGCCCAGUUCGGACUGUAGGCUGCAACCCGCCUACACGAAGCCGGAAUCGCUAGUAAUGGCGCAUCAGCUACGGCGCCGUGAAUACGUUCCCGGGUCUUGUACACACCGCCCGUCACAUCAUGGAAGCCGGUCGCACCCGAAGUAUCUGAAGCCAACCGCAAGGAGGCAGGGUCCUAAGGUGAGACUGGUAACUGGGAUG